rnacentral:tRNA from 1 species
GCGGUCAUAGUCUAGUGGUAGGAUUCUAGCUUCCCAAGCUAGUGACUCGAGUUCGAGCCUCGAUGGCCGCA